rnacentral:lncRNA from 1 species
UGGAAUUGAUUUUUCAGCCAAGAAGAUAGUGGGAAUUUAAUAUUUGUGUGUGUGAGGGUGUGUGUGUGUGUUUUUUUUUUUUUUUUCCUAAUAAUGAUCUGGUGCACUAACUUCAUCAACUGCACCUAGCUUGAUUUUGUUCAACAUUAAUGAAAAUUGAAUAUGAGGGACUUAUUAUUUAAUGGCAUUCAUAUGCUAUGUGUAAAUUCCACUUGAGAUUACCUAUCAAGAACAAUUUUACACGAAAUAAUAGACAAUCAAUGCUACUCUUACAAG